ensembl:lncRNA
CUCAGAUCGCCAGCUAAUCCAGAUCGUCACUAGACAACAGUGAAGGACAGGACAGAGGAAAGAACUAGGGAAGGUUUGCUGUCUUUUUGUUGUUCUGAGACAAGCUUUUGCUCUGCAGUGCAGGCUAUUCUCGAACUCCAGAUCCUUGCCUCUGCCUCAUGGGUGCUGAGAUGAGAGGGGCAGCACCAAGUCGGAGACAGGUUUUCUCUGUAUUGCUUUGGAGGCUGUCCUGGAACUUGCUCUGGAGACCAGGCUGGCCUCGAACUCACAGAGAUCCUGCCUGCCUCUGACUCCUGAGUACUGGGAUUAAAGGUGUGCACCACCACCUUUCUACACGUGAGGACUCCAUGAAUCCCCAAACCACACAGUCAAGGUCAUUUCUCUACAGAGAUAAGAACUGCAAGGAAAGAUCCUCCAAGAAUAAAGCUGGAAACAAAAUCUAAAACAACUUCAAGGAAGACCUUGAUCCUGAUGCUGGCAUCCCCAACAUAAAGGCCCCUAUUGUCAACCGCAGCACAGAGCCCCUCUUUGUUUAAAAAAAAAAAAAAAAAAAAAGCCUGCCUCCUUAGGCUACCAUUUCAAUCCCAGCAGUCCAUGGGGUGGAAUCUCUUCCCUAGCCUUCUCACAAAACUCUACAUUGGAGGUCUGUGGAUCUUCAUAUAGAGAACUGAGCAGUUAGGCUGAAUCUCUUGAUAUCUGCCCUGGUCACUCCCCAGGACCAAAGGCCAAGUCCAGUUCUGCAAUCCUAUGGAGAUUUCUUUCCCAGGCUCUGCCCAGCCCAAAGAGGACUCAGAAGAAACACCAUUCCCAUGCAUAAUGGCCCCUUCAUUCAACACCCCAGUACAGACAGUAUGUGGGUGGGGUGACAGUGACUGCCACAUCCCCAAAAGAGCCUGGCAGCUUGAGCUGGCUCCUCAGAGUCCUCUAAUACAAGUUCUGACAGCAGCUGCUGAAGGAGACAGACAGCCUUGGUCAGCCACAAUUACCACUCCUCCCUCUCUCUACCACACUUUUCUCCUUGGAGGUUCUCACAGCUACCAGUUUGGGUAAUAUUUUUACUUUUUUAAUGUUAUAGGUAUGGGUGUUUUUUCUGCAUAUAUGUUUAUGUAUCAUAUGCAUGGCUGGAGCCUACAGAGGCCAUAGGUGUCUAGAUUCCUAGAACUGGAGUUACAGACCGUUGUGAGUCAUCAUACAGGUGCUGGGAACUGAACUCCAGUCCUCUUGAAGAACAAAUACUCUUAAGCACUGAGCCAUCUCUCUAGCCCCUUUGAGUAAGAUUUUAAUGAAUGAAAGGAUCCUUUAAAUUGCACAGCAAAAUAUCAUGUUCCCUACAGAUUUUCAAUGAGAAAGGAAUAAUGAUGUCACACUGGACUCUUUUCUGGCCUGUGAGAGAUAAGCGUUUAGCCAAUCUGCUGAUAAUCGAAUACACCAUGAGACAGCCCUGAAAGCGACAGGAAGAACCAACCAAAGCUGUCACAGAGCUGCCAGUGUGGAAUGGCAAAUUUAUUGGGACAGAAUGCGGUUUUUAUUUUUUGUUUCCAAGUACAGUCUGAACCACUUGGCUAGCAGAUCAAAGGCCUGCUUCUCUAAGAGUGAUGGAGUUAAUUCCCAAGGAACCUUACCAUAUCUGAAGGGACCAGCUCCCCAUUUCGGCAGCCAUAACAGCUAAACACGUGUUUGUCUGACCUUGUCUUAGUCACUAAGAGGUCAGACGCCUGCCUUGUGGCAAGGAACCAAUGAGAAGUUCACUGAUGGGGCUAUGCUUUACAGCUCUGGGUGUGCUUUACAGACAAGUGCACAGCAAUGACACGCAGAGCAUAGCAACCACCCUGGGAGGGCCUAUGGGCCAUAACAACCAGUUGGCCAAUCAACACAGGGCAAGCCCUCCAAGCCUGGAGGCACAUCAAUCCUGAGCCUGUGCGUACCCCUAGACACUCCCCUUACGCUGCCCUACAAGAUCUCUAUGCAGCCAGUUCGAGCUGUCCUUCUAGCCAUCCACCAUGGUGGAUGGCUUGAAAGACCGGAGCUAACAUGGGGUUAGCUUGUUAAACAACAAUAAAGCCUUGUGCAGUUUGCAUCAAGCUUUCGACUCCACAUGGUGAUUGGGGUGGCCGAGGUCCUGGGCAGAGAUCCUGGAAGCCUGAGCUUUCCGGGGGUCUUAUAAUCAAAACUAUUUCUUUUUUAAUAUGUAUGUGUUUGGGUGUGUAUGUAUGUAUUGUUAGACCCCC